CCUACGGGUGGCAGCAGUGGGGGAUAUUGCACAAUGGGGGAAACCCUGAUGCAGCGACGCCGCGUGGGUGAAGAAGCGCCUCGGCGCGUAAAGCCCUGUCAGCAGGGAAGAAAAUGACGGUACCUGAAGAAGAAGCCCCGGCUAACUACGUGCCAGCAGCCGCGGUAAUACGUAGGGGGCAAGCGUUAUCCGGAUUUACUGGGUGUAAAGGGGGCGCAGACGGCGAUGCAAGCCAGGAGUGAAAGCCCGGGGCCCAACCCCGGGACUGCUGUUGGAACUGCGUGGCUAGAGUGCAGGAGGGGCAGGCGGAAUUCCUGGUGUAGCGGUGAAAUGCAUAGAUAUCACGCAGAACCCCGAUUGCGAAGGCAGCCUUCCGGCGCCCUACUGACGCUGAGGCACGAAAGUGCGGGGAUCGAACAGGAUUAGAUACCCCGGUAGUC
rnacentral:rRNA from 1 species